UGCAGUCGAACGGGCCAUUACUCUUUGGAGUGAUGGUUAGUGGCGAACGGGUGAGUAAAAGGUAGGGACCUACCCCGAGGACAGAGAUAGCUACUGGAAACGGUAGGUAAACUCUGAUAAGCCCGAGAGGGGAAAGUGGAAGGCAGCCUUGGGAUGGACCUACUAUCCAUCAGGUAGUUGGUGAGGUAAAGGCUCACCAAGCCGAUGACGGAUAACCGGUGUGAGAGCAUGUACGGUCACAAGGGCACUGAGACACGGGCCCUACUCCUACGGGAGGCAGCAGUGGGGAAUAUUGGACAAUGGGCGAAAGCCUGAUCCAGCGACGCCGCGUGAAGGAAGAAGUCCUUCGGGAUGUAAACUUCUGAACUAAUCGAAUAAAAGGGUAGUGGACACACUACAGAAGAAGGUAGAUUAGGAAAAGUCCCGGCUAACUACGUGCCAGCAGCCGCGGUAAGACGUAGGGGGCGAGCGUUGCCCGGAAUCACUGGGUGUAAAGGGGACGUAGGCGGAUGAUCAAGUCAUCUGUGAAAAGAUUGCUCAACGAUUGGCUUGCGGAUGAAACUGGUCAUCUUGGGCGUAGCAGAGGUAGACGGAAUUACCUGAGUAGGGGUGAAAUCCGCAGAUACAGGUAAGAACGCCGGUGAAGAAGUUGGUCUACUAGGCUACAGCUGACGCUGAGGUCCGAAAGCCAGGGGAGCGAACCGGAUUAGAUACCCGGGUAGUCCUGGCUGUAAACGAUGCUCACUAGGUGUAGGGAGCGAAAGACUCUCUGUGCUGAAGCUAACGCGAUAAGUGAGCCACCUGGGGAGUACGUCCGCAAGGAUGAAACUCAAAGGAAUUGACGGGGGUCCGCACAAGCGGUGGAGCAUGUGGUUUAAUUCGAAGCUAACCGAAGAACCUUACCAGGGAUUGACAUGUAACUGAAGGUAGAGAAAUCUACUGGCCUGCCGUGAGGUAGGAGGUUACACAGGUGGUGCACGGUCGUCGUCAGCUCGUGCCGUGAGGUGUUGGGUUAAGUCCCACAACGAGCGCAACCCCUACAAUUAGUUACCAGCAAGUAAAGUUGGGGACACUAAUUGGACAGCCGCCGACGAGGCGGAGGAAGGAGGGGAUGACGUCAGAUAAGCGUGCCCCUUAUACUCUGGGCGACACACGUGCUACAAUGGGGAGGACAAAGGGAAGCGAAGCCGAGAGGUGGAGCGGAUCCGAAAAAACUCUCCGUAAUAUGGAUUGUAGGCUGAAACUCGCCUACAUGAAGCUGGAAUCGCUAGUAAUCGCAGGUCAGCCAAACUGCGGUGAAUACGUUCCCGGGCCUUGUACACACCGCCCGUCACGCCACCCGAGUUGGGAACACCUGAAGGCAGUACGGAAGGUAC
rnacentral:rRNA from 1 species